AUGCUCACUUCAGCAGCACAUAUACUAAAAUUGGAACAAUACAGAGGAGAUUAGCAUGGCCCCCAUGAAAGGAUGACAAAGAAAAAAAGGAGGGAAAUCAAAACUGA
ensembl:snRNA U6 U6 spliceosomal RNA